UCGGGUAUAGCAUAAAGCUAGUGCGGCACAACGCAGCUUCUACUCUGGUGGGUAUGAACUGUGGUGCACGUCGGGGUUCGAUUCCCCGUAUUCGAG